AUUCAAGGGGUGCCUAUUAUGGCUGAGAUAAUACCCUCUAACCUGAUCCGGAUAAUGCCGGCGUAGGAAUGGAUAUU
rnacentral:ncRNA from 1 species